GACGAACGCUGGCGGCGUGCUUAACACAUGCAAGUCGAACGGAAAGGCCCUGCUUUUGUGGGGUGCUCGAGUGGCGAACGGGUGAGUAACACGUGAGUAACCUGCCCUUGACUUUGGGAUAACUUCAGGAAACUGGGGCUAAUACCGGAUAGGAGCUCCUGCUGCAUGGUGGGGGUUGGAAAGUUUCGGCGGUUGGGGAUGGACUCGCGGCUUAUCAGCUUGUUGGCGGGGUAGUGGCUUACCAAGGCUUUGACGGGUAGCCGGCCUGAGAGGGUGACCGGCCACAAUGGGACUGAGAGACGGACCAGACUGCUACGGGAGGCAGCAGUGGGGAAUAUUGCACAAUGGGCGGAAGCCUGAUGCAGCAACGCCGCGUGCGGGAUGACGGCCUUCGGGUUGUAAACCGCUUUCGCCUGUGACGAAGCGUGAGUGACGGUAAUGGGUAAAGAAGCACCGGCUAACUACGUG
rnacentral:rRNA from 1 species